rnacentral:rRNA from 1 species
AUAUAAAAAGCUAAUUAAGGGCACAUGGAGGAUGCCUAGGUAGUAAAAGCCGAAGAAGGACGUGAUAAGCUGCGAAAAGCUUAGGGGAGUUGCAUAUGAGCGUAGAUCCUAAGAUAUCCGAAUGGGGAAACCUACUUGUUGGAAGGACAAGUGAGAGAUAGGUAAGCUAGCGAACUGAAACAUCUAAGUAGCUAGAGGAAAAGAAAGUAAAAACGAUUCCCUUAGUAGCGGCGAGCGAAGGGGGAAGAGCCUAAAACAUGGUGGUGUUAAACUUGGCGAGGUUGCCAUCAUGUGGUAGAGGGAGAUAUUUGUUGAGAUAGCCAUAAUCAAGAUAUGUAUAGUUAGGUAAAUAAAACAAGGUUGGAAAGCCUGGCCAUAGAGAGUGAUAGCCUCGUAUGUGUAAACUAACAUAUGUAUAAUAUUAAUCCCAAGUAGCAUCAAGCACGAGGAAUUUGGUGUGAAUCAGUGUGGACCAUAUCACAUAAGGCUAAAUACUUUUACUAACCGAUAGAGAAGAGUACCGUGAGGGAAAGGUGAAAAGAACCCUGAGUAAGGGAGUGAAAUAGAAUUUGAAACCAUGUGCUUACAAACGGUAGGAGGCGAUAAGCUGACUGCGUGGAUUUUGGUUAAUCAUCCUGCGAGUUAUGAUAUGUGGCGAGGUUAAGAGAGUGGAGCCGAAGGGAAACCGAGUCUUAAGAGGGCGAAAGUCGCAUGUUAUAGACGCGAAACCUAGUGAUCUAGGCCUGUCCAGGUUGAAGCUGCAGUAAGAUGCAGUGGAGGACCGAACUCACCGCCGUUGAAAUGUUGGGAGAUGAGAUAGGUUUAGGGGUGAAAAGCCAAUCGAACUAGGAGAUAGCUCGUUCUCUCCGAAAUGCAUUUAGGUGCAGCCUUAAGUUUAAAGAUAUGUGGGGGUAGAGCACUGUAUAACCUAGGGGGCGUAUAGCUUACUGAAGUUAAGCAAACUGCGAAUACCAUAUAUUAAUACUUAGGAGUGAGUCUAUGGAUGACAAGGUCCAUGGACGAGAGGGGAACAACCCAGAACAUCAGCUAAGGUCCCAAAUUAUGUCUAAGUGGGAAAGGAGGUGGAUAUUCACAAACAACCAGGAGGUUGGCUUAGAAGCAGCCAUACCUUUAAAGAGUGCGUAAUAGCUCACUGGUCGAGAGUAUCUGCGCCGAAGAUUUAACGGGGCUAAGACAUAAACCGAAGCUAUGUAACAACAAUGUUGUUGGUAGGAGAGCGUUCUGUAGGCUGUAGAAGGAGAGCUGAAAGGUGAUCUGGAGGUAUCAGAAGUGAGAAUGCAGGAAUGAGUAGCGAGAAAGAGGGUGAGAAUCCCUCUGGCCGGAAGUCCAAGGUUUCCAGGGCAAUGUUUGUCAACCCUGGGUGAGUCGGGACCUAAGCGAAGACUAGAAAGUCGUGGCGAAUGGAAAAUAGGUUAAUAUUCCUAUACCACUUUAAUCUGUUAACUGAUGGAGUGACGCAGGAAGGUAUGUGAGAUGUCUGACGGAAUAGGCAUUCUAAGGGAGAGGCAUGAUAAUAUAGGCAAAUCCGUAUUAUUAAAUGUUAGACCUUAUGGGUAAGGGCAUUAGUGCUUAAGUUACAAAUCCUACACUGCCGAGAAAAACUUCUAAAGAGGAAAGAAGUGCCCGUACUGUAAACCGACACAGGUGGACUGGGUGAGAAACCCGAGGCCGACAGGAUAACUCUAGCUAAGGAACUCUGCAAAAUAGCCCCGUAACUUAGGGAGAAGGGGUACCUAUGGUAGGUAAGUGAGAGCAUCAUGAGCCCAAGUAGGUCGCAGUGAAGAGUCCCAAGCAACUGUUUAUCAAAAACACAGGUCUAUGCUAAGCUGAAAGGCGACGUAUAUGGGCUGACACCUGCCCAGUGCUGGAAGGUUAAGAGGAGGAUUGAGAGAUUCAAAUUGAAGCCCCAGUGAACGGCGGCCGUAACUAUAACGGUCCUAAGGUAGCGAAAUUCCUUGUCGGGUAAGUUCCGACCUGCACGAAUGGUGAAAUGAUUUGGGAGCUGUCUUGGCUGGAGACCUGGUGAAGUUGUAAUGUCGGUGAAGAUACCGACUACCUGUAGUAGGACGGAAAGACCCCGUGGAGCUUUACUGUAGUUUGGCAUUGGGUUUUGGUAAUGUGUGUAUAGAAUAGUUGGGAGACUGAGAUAUUAAGACGCUAGUUUUAAAGGAGUCAACUGUGGAAUACCAACCAUAUAUUAUUGAAAUUCUAAUCAAGAAAUUGAGACAGUGCUAGAUGGGCAGUUUGACUGGGGCGGUCGCCUCCUAAAGAGUAACGGAGGCGUUCAAAGGUUCCCUCAGGUUGGAUGGAAAUCAACCAGAGAGUGUAAAGGUAUAAGGGAGCUUGACUGCGAGAUUGACAGAUCGAGCAGGUGCGAAAGCAGGACUUAGUGAUCCGGCGGUGCUGUAUGGAAAGGCCGUCGCUUAACGGAUAAAAGCUACCCCGGGGAUAACAGGCUGAUACUUCCCAAGAGUCCAUAUCGACGGAAGUGUUUGGCACCUCGAUGUCGGCUCGUCUCAUCCUGGGGCUGGAGAAGGUCCCAAGGGUUGGGCUGUUCGCCCAUUAAAGAGGCACGCGAGCUGGGUUCAGAACGUCGUGAGACAGUUCGGUCCCUAUCCACUACAGGCGUUAGAAUAUUGAAAAGAUCUGUCCCUAGUACGAGAGGACCAGGAUGGACAAACCUCUGAUGUAUCAGUUGUUACGCCAGUAGCAUGGCUGAGUAGUUACGUUUGGAAGGGAUAAUCGCUGAAAGCAUCUAAGUGAGAAACCCACUUUGAGAUAAGUAUUCUUUUUAAGUAUCCACUGAGACUAAGUGGUUGAUAGGUUGGGGGUGUAAGUGUAGUAAUACAUUUAGCUGACCAAUACUAAUAAUACGUAGGCUUUGUAUUUUUA